AGAAGACAAAAAAAAAAAAAGCUUUAUUUAAAUCAUCCGUAGGUGCUACAAGAACUACCCAAAGGCUUCUGUUGAAAAUUGAAGAACAGAAGAAGAGAAAUACCCCGCCCUUCUCUGUUCAUUCCUUCAGUAUGUUCGUUAUAUUGUGCAAUGGCCAGACUCAGCACAAGGCCAACAAGAAAACCCAGGCCUUUCCACGUGGCUGUUGAAAUGUUCUCACGGGGAGGAGCUAGGACUCACGGAGAAUGGAUGGCUACAGUCAGUCCACCAAGAGACUCGGAGUCAACAGGAGGGACAAGCGCUGC